UACGGGAGGCAGCAGUGGGGAAUUUUGGACAAUGGGCGCAAGCGUGAUCCAGCAAUGCCGCGUGCAGGAAGAAGGCCUUCGGGUUGUAAACUGCUUUUGUCAGGGAAGAAAUCUUCUGGGCUAAUACCCCGGGAGGAUGACGGUACCUGAAGAAUAAGCACCGGCUAACUACGUGCCAGCAGCCGCGGUAAUACGUAGGGUGCGAGCGUUUAUCGGAAUUACUGGGCGUAAAGCGUGCGCGGGCGGCUUUGCAAGACAGAUGUGAAAUCCCCGGGCUCAACCUGGGAACUGCAUUUGUGACUGCAAGGCUAGAGUGCGGCAGAGGGGGAUGGAAUUCCGCGUGUAGCAGUGAAAUGCGUAGAUAUGCGGAGGAACACCAAUGGAGAAGGCAAUCCCCUGGGCCUGUACUGACGCUCAUGCAAGAAAGCGUGGGGAGCAAACAGGAUUAGAUACCCUGGUAGUCCACGCCCUAAACGAUGUCAACUGGUUGUUGGACGGCUUGCUGUUCAGUAACGAAGCUAACGCGUGAAGUUGACCGC
rnacentral:rRNA from 1 species